rnacentral:tRNA from 1 species
GGGUCAGUAGCCCAACUGGCAGAGGCAAGGGACUUAAAAUCCCUCGAGUGCGGGUUCGAAUCCCGCCUGACCCA